GGCGGGGGGGAUGGCGGGCACUCGCGGGGCCGUGUCAGCGCGCACGGCCGGGCCCUGCCACUCGUCGGGAGAUCGGGGAGGCCCCUUCCUCGGCUUCAGCCCUCGGCUUUACCCGCCCCCCCCCACCCGCUGCCACAGCUGUCACCGGGCUGCGGCGCCCAAGCGGGCGUGCCUUGGCUUCGCGGGCCGCUCGCCCCCGACGCUGCGAGAGGGAAGAGCCCACCUUUCCGAGGGGAUUUGACAUCUCCUCGUCGGUGCCAGACACCUUUGUUUCUCCGCAGGCGAAAAACGUGGUUUUGGCGCCCAAAUUUCAGUGGCACGGCCCCUCGUGAGUCCUGAGGGCAACUGGAGCAGGGAAGAGCAGCAGCUGCCUGGACUCGUGCCGGACUCAAAAAACUCGAGAAUGCCUGGAGAGCGGGAAGUGCCUCUGUUGGUAGGAAACGGGCUUUGGAGCAAGUGCGUAAUUGGGAAUGGGUGCACGAUAACCGUGAGCCCAUGCUUCUCUCCCAAAAUCCACGAUCCACAGCAGAGACCUUGUGUCUAAGAAGCCAAAGGCUUGCAAGGGGAUUCCAGAGUCACGGAGUUAAGACUGUGAAGGAUUCAGGUCAUUACCUGCACAUUAAACAGUCUCCUGUUACAUCUUCCACCACUGUGGGAGUCAAACAUUAGGGAAUCCUAAUGCCCAUCCGAAAUAAUUCCGUUCCCCACCGUGUGUUUUAAACUCACGCUGUCGCUCCUCACUGAGGCGGGUUCCUUUUCCUCCUGUCACCCUCAAAAUUCCCCAUCUCCAUCCUUUUCCAGGACGCUGAGCAUAGAGUUACAUUGGAGAAACAUGGAUCAGUUUUGUUGACUCAUUUCACACAGCCACACGUGUCUGCUUUAAAAAUUCUUGGACACGGAUUGAUUAGGAUCAGGAUGGUUUUAGUCAAAAAAGCACAUCAGGAAUGUGGAAAAAAGGCCCCUCCUUUAAGCAUUAUA